UCGUCGGCGAAGUUGAUAACAAUGGCGUGGAUCUAUUCGGCCAUCGGAUUUGAUUUGACAUUUCAAAGAAAUGUUGAAGGGUCUGAAGAAAUGGGGAAUCAAAGAACCCCCUCCCCUCUUCUUUCGAAAGUAUCAAACCGGCGAUGUCGUUGAUGUCGUCAGUGAAGUUGAUGACGGUGGCGCGGAUUUGUUUGGUCGUCGGAUUUGAUUUGACAUUUUCGAAGAAAUGUUGAAGGGUCUGAAGAAACGGGGAAUCAAAGAUCGAUCCCCCUCCCCUCGGCGAUAUCUCUUUUUUCUUUUUUUUUGUAUGUCGGAACGAGUGUAGCAAUCUAUCUAUCUUUUUUUGUUCUUUGUCUAUCGUAUCGUCUCCGUAAAAAAAUUCUCCAGAAUUUGAUUUCGGUUCCCGUAUUUAUAAUGGGAGGGGAGGAGUUAGUUAGGAAUUCAAAAUUCGAAAUUCGAAUUUUGAAUUAUUUGUUGGAUGGUUGGAGGAUAUUUGGGGAGUGGUUGGGAAUUCAAAAUUCGAAAUUGAAUUUUGAAUGAGUUGUUGCGUAGUUGGAAGAUAUUUUGGGAGUGGUUGGGAAUUCAAAAUUCGAAAUUGAAUUUUGAAUAGGUUAUGGGAUGGUUGGAAGAUAUUUUGGGAAUUGGUUGGAGGUUCGAAAUUCGAAAUCGAAUUUUGAAUGGGUUGUUGGAGGAUAUUUUGGAAAUUGGUUGGGGAUUUGAAAUUCGAAUUCGAAAUCGAAUUUUGAAUGGAUUGUUGGAUAGUUGAAGGAUAUUUUGAGGAUUGAUUCGAAAUUUGAAAUCAAAUUUUGAAUAGGUUGUUGGAGGAUGUUUUGGGGAUUAGUCGGGAAUUCGAAAUUCGAAAUCGAAUUUCGAAUGGGUUGUUGGAUGAUGUUUUGGGGAUUGGUUGGGAAUUCGAAAUUCGAAAUCGAAUUUCAAAUGGGUUGUUGGAUGAUGUUUUGGGGAUUAGUUGGGAAUUUGAAAUUCGAAAUCGAAUUUCGAAUGGGUUGUUGGAUGAUGUUUUGGAGAUUGGUUGGGAAUUCGAAAUUCGAAAUCGAAUUUCGAAUGGGUUGUUGGAUGAUAUUUUGGGGAUUGGUUGGGAAUUCGAAAUUCGAAAUCGAAAUUCGAAUGGGUUGUGAUUUGAAAUCGAAUUUCGAAUAGAUAUUUUAUAUAAUGUGGAUGUGGGCCGUCGUUGAUCAGGCCCGCUUUAAUUUAU
rnacentral:lncRNA from 1 species